AUUGAACGCUGGCGGCAUGCUUUACACAUGCAAGUCGAACGGCAGCACGGACUUCGGUCUGGUGGCGAGUGGCGAACGGGUGAGUAAUACAUCGGAACGUGCCCAGUUGUGGGGGAUAACUACUCGAAAGAGUAGCUAAUACCGCAUGAGAACUGAGGUUGAAAGCAGGGGAUCGUAAGACCUUGCGCAACUGGAGCGGCCGAUGGCAGAUUAGGUAGUUGGUGGGAUAAAAGCUUACCAAGCCGACGAUCUGUAGCUGGUCUGAGAGGACGACCAGCCACACUGGGACUGAGACACGGCCCAGACUCCUACGGGAGGCAGCAGUGGGGAAUUUUGGACAAUGGGCGAAAGCCUGAUCCAGCAAUGCCGCGUGCAGGAUGAAGGCCCUCGGGUUGUAAACUGCUUUUGUACGGAACGAAAAGCUUCGGGUUAAUACCCUGGAGUCAUGACGGUACCGUAAGAAUAAGCACCGGCUAACUACGUGCCAGCCGCCGCAGUAAGAC
rnacentral:rRNA from 1 species